rnacentral:rRNA from 1 species
GACGAACGCUGGCGGCGUGCUUAACACAUGCAAGUCGAACGGAAAGGUCCUGCUUUUCUGGGGUCCUCGAGUUGCGACCGGGUGAGUAACCCGUGAGUACCCUACCCUUGACUUUGAGAUGACUUCAUACAACUUGCGCUCAUACCGGAUAGGAUCUCCCGCUGCAUGGUGGGGGCUGGUUAGUUUCGGCGGUUGGGGAUGGACUCGCCGCUUAUCCGAUUGUUGGUGGGGUGGUGGCUUACCAUGGCCUUGCCCGGUAGCCGGCCUGAGAGGGUGACCGGAUAAAUUGGGCCUGAGAUACGGCCCAGACUCCUACGGGAGGCAGCAGUGGGGUAGAUUGCACAAUGGGCGGAAGCCAGAUGCAGCAACGCCGCGUGCGGGGUGACGGCAUUGGGUUUGGAAUGCGAAUCCGCUUCAGAUGAAGCGUUAGUGACGGUAAUGGGUAAAGAAGCACCGGCUAACUCCGUG